rnacentral:rRNA from 1 species
CACGUAGGGCGCGAGCGUUGUCCGGAUUUAUUGGGCGUAAAGAGCUCGUAGGCGGCUUGUCGCGUCGUCCGUGAAAACUUGGGGCUCAACCCCAAGCUUGCGGUCGAUACGGGCAGGCUAGAGUUCGGUAGGGGAGACUGGAAUUCCUGGUGUAGCGGUGAAAUGCGCAGAUAUCAGGAGGAACACCGGUGGCGAAGGCGGGUCUCUGGGCCGAUACUGACGCUGAGGAGCGAAAGCGUGGGGAGCGAACAGG